rnacentral:rRNA from 1 species
UAGCCUUGACAUAUAUUAGAACUCCGUAGAGAUACAGAGGUGCCUUCGGGAGCUUUUAUACAGGUGCUGCACGGCUGUCGUCAGCUCGUGUCGUGAGAUGUUGGGUUAAGUCCCGCAACGAGCGCAACCCUCGUCACUAGUUACUAACGGUUCGGCCGAGGACUCUAGUGAGACUGCCUUCGUAAGGAGGAGGAAGGUGAGGACGACGUCAAGUCAUCAUGGCCCUUACGGCUAGGGCAACACACGUGCUACAAUGGCCAGGACAGUGAGACGCGAUACCGCGAGGUGGAGCAAAUCUAUAAACCUGGUCUCAGUUCGGAUUGUAGUCUGCAACUCGACUACAUGAAGCUGGAAUCACUAGUAAUCGUAGAUCAGCUAUGCUACGGUGAAUACGUUCCCGGGUCU